AUUUACCCCAGUGUGACUAUCGGGAGCAGUGAAAUCAGCUGGAGAGAAGCCACAUGUACAUUUUUCUCAGUAAAAUAGUUUUGUGCUAUUAUCACCAGAGCCAGCAAUUCAACCUAAAUUCUGAGUGUAAUGGAAGCCAUUAAUCACUAUCAAGUUCAUCAUUUUUUUUCAUGCAAUCAACAGAGAAAACUUCUGUGACCACAUAUAUGAAGCUUUUUCUGACCAACAAGAAAGAAAUC
rnacentral:lncRNA from 1 species